rnacentral:lncRNA from 1 species
UUUUUUUUUGUGUAUUUGAAUCCCUUAUGUGGUUUCUUCAGUGCAUACAGUAUGUGAAUAUCUAAAUGUGUGAUGUGCAUAUCUGAAUGUGUGGUGUGCUGAACUACAGCAAUGCACCAAGUCAGACACCUCGUAUGGUUAGGCGCGCGAGCAGCCGAGAGCAACGCACCAAGUCAGACACCUCGUCUGGUUAGGCGUGCAAGCAGCCGAGAGCAACUCGUCUCCCUCCCCGGCCUCGUUAGUAAUUAACACCUCUGUUGACCCAACAUAGACCACAUACGAACUGGUGGCGUAGUGGCUACAGGUUUUUUCUCACCCACCUCAUCACCUCACCCACCUCACCCAUCUCCUUCAUGGGCCGGCCCGCGGGGCGUGGUAUCCCUGUUUUUUUCAUUAAGUUUUUUGUCUUUUCUUUUCUUAUUUCUAUUUUUAAUUGCUUUGAAUUAAUUCGAGACUGACAAAUUUUAAAAAGUAGCGACUUUUCAAAAAAAUGGUCGGGAAAUCAUAAAAUUUGUACUAAUUUAAAAAAUGUUCAAAAAAUCAUAAAGUUAUCGUGGUUUCAAAAAAUGUCGGUAAUUUUACAAAAAAAUGGCAAAUUAUAAAAAAAUUACAAUUUGGAAAAAAAUUGUUGGGAAAUAAAACCAUGUUCCUGGUUUUGAAAAAAAUGAUCAUGUAUACAAAACAUAUUCACGAAUCUAAAAAAAUAUCCAUGAAAUUUUAGAAAAUUCUCAAAAAAAGCAACUUUUCUGCGAAUUCAAUUUUUUCCCUAAUUUAAGAAAACCAUCGAUUCAAAAAAUGUUUGUCAAUUCAAAAAACUUUUCGAUGUUUUCGAAGUCUUUUAUAUCGGGGUUUUGAUCAUUUUUUGAAAGUCUUUAUAUGUCUAGACAUAUAAAGGAUGCUGAUUGAGUCAUACUUAUAUGACCAGCGUGUAAAUUUUGUAUCUACCGUUGCAACGCACGGGCAUGUUUGCUAGUAAUUUAUAUAUGAAAUAUCAUCAGAAAACUUUGCUCUAUCAAACUGUGUCAUUUUCAUGCACAUAAAAACAACUCAAAACGGUGAAACAGUCGAAACUACAAUAAGGGCUUUAUUGCAUUCCUCCUCACCAUGCAAGGUGCCGUCACGCCAAUCCGAAGUGCCAAGGUGUAAUCAAGUGAUUCUUGUCUUCUUCUUUGAUGUGGGCCAUAGUAGCCGACUAUCCAAGAUUGUACAUGUGUUCUCGUGUGCGAUGAGGAAGAUGUGGGUUGAUCUGUUGCCGCUCGGUGGGUGACACAACGACAACCACCUCUCCGUACUACAACCUUCGAGUGGUGGGACACCCCAGUAUCCUUACCCUUUUUGGCGUUCCUCCUCACCAUGCAAGGUGUCUUCACACCAAUCCGAAGUGCCAAGGCGUAAUCAAGCAAUUCUCGUCUUCUUCUUCGAUGGGGGCCAUAGUAGCCGACGAUCCAAGAUUGUACAUGUGUCCUCAUGUGGGUGAGGAAGGCGUGGGUUGAUCCGCUGCCGCUCGGCUGGUGACACAGCGACAACCACCUCUCCAUACUACAACCUUCAAGUGUUGGGACACCCCAAUAUCCUCUCCGCCUUUUGUGUUCCUUCUCAGCAUGCAAGGUGUCGUCACACCAAUCUGAAUUGCCAAGGCAUAAUCAAGUCGAUUCUCAUCAUCUUUUUUGACAUGGGCCAUAGGAGUCGACGAUCCAAGAUUGUACAUGUCUCCUUUUGUGCGGUGACGAUGCCGGUGUCAUGGCGAUCGAUUUGAGAAGGCGUGUCAGUAACUAACUUCAUUGGAGUUGGCUAAUACAUAGUGUGUAAACAACCAUAUGCUUUACCAAUUCUAGUAACAAAUAAAAUUCUUGUGCUAUACAUAUAUAUAUAUAUAUAUAUAUAUCCUUUGUAAUGUUCUAAAUAUCAUUUGGCGGCAAGAAUACCCGCGCACAUGUACAAUUUUAGCUCCAACGGCGCCAGGCCAAAAAGUCCACCAUCGUAAAUUGACCGAAUGACCCAUCAAGGUGCCAGACAAUUGCACAGAACCAUUCUUCCACCAGGUGCCAUGCGAAGGGCAUGUUAGUAAUUUGACACGCAAGAAAUACUUAAUCCCCACCGCACGCCCGCCCCUACCCCACAGUUCGCCAAAUCCGAUCCCCAUUCCCCUUCCGCCUCCACCGCCGCCGGCCACCGCUUCACCUCCUCCACCGCCGGCCACCGCUUCACCUCUUCCACCGCCAAGCACGACUGUCCUCCCUCUUCCACAUCCACAGCCGGUCACGACCCCACCCCAACUGCCGGCCAAGACCCCCCUCCUCCCCACCAUCCGCCUCCACCGAACCCUAGAACACACCGUCACCUCCUCCACCGCCGAGCAAGACUCCCUCUUCCGCAUCCGCUGCAGGUCACCACCCCACCCGACUAUCGGCCAAGACUCCCCCUCCCCCCUCACCUUCCGCUCCACCGAACCCUAGAACCCCGACCAUGGGGAAGAAGACUGCAGGGAAGAAACACCGAGGAGGCAAGACAGCAGUAGCAGGUACAACCCCUCCCCACGCCUUUAAUAUUCUCUGUUUUUGCUUGUGCUUGAUUUAAAUUGAUAGUGCUUCUGGUUCUAAUACUGUACUGCUAGUGUUCUAGUUCUAGUAAAUAUUGCAAUGCCAAAUUGAUAGUGCUUCUGGUUCUGGCCAAAUUGAUAGUGCUUGAUUUAAAUACACACUGAACAUUUUUAUGGUGCUAGUGCUUCUGGCCAAAUUGAUAGUGCUUGAUUUAAAUUGAUGGUGCUUCUGGUUCUAAUACAGUAUACAAAUUGAUAGUGCUUCUGGUUCUAGUAAAUACUGCAAUGGCCAAACGCCUCUCGGUUUUGCCAAUACUGAAGAAUACCAAAGUAUUUGUGUAGUCUGGUAUUUCUUGCCUACAAGUUCUAAUACUGUGGUUUCUUAAUACUAUGGUUUUCUAAAUAUUGUGCAUCCAAACAUAGCCGAAUAAGAUCCUUGUGCUUCCAAGUAUAGAUUUUGUUCCCAUAUUGAUGCAAACUCAAUAAAAAACAGUAAUUUGUUAUUACUCUUAUGCACAUAGUAAUUCGUGUUUACAUCUGUACUCGUCUUAGAACGACCACUACAUCCUAUGGAAGUGUCGCGCCUCAAAAUGUUCAUGAGGAACAAUGCAAGGCUGUAAUCACUUGGACUACCUACAUUAUCAACAUUGUUUGCAAACAAAGCUGUCAUUUCACCUGAAAAAAGAAAGCCCGAGCAUACUUGUGAUGAAUCUGAAGCUGAGUACCAUCCUAACGAGGAGGAUACCAGUGAAGGAGACUCAUCUGAUGAUAGUUUAAUAGAUGAGAGGGAAGUACUGCAAGACUUAAAGUCCACACCAUCUCCUAGCUCAAAGUUGAAGGUGCUAAAAUCCUCCAACUAGUCAUUCCUAGAUAUGUUGCUUGUUUGCUAUUGCAGCAGAAUUUUUGUUACAUUUUGUUGAUUUAACCAUGUUUUCAUUUCUAUAAGGGGUUGAACGACUGUAAGAAGACCAGUCAGGAAAUAAAUAAGAAAAGAUCCGCAGACAUGGCCCCUGGUGGAAUCAAGCCUCGGCCUCCUAAAAGAAUUCAUGCGGAGCUUCCAACAAAUGCGCGAGUGACAAGGUCAAACAAAAGACUAUUACUAGAUGUUGAUGCAAGUCCUCAAAGUGAAGGGGUGUCGGAUCCUAAACACCAAACACCAAUUGCAAUCCAGAAGCCAUCUGUUUCUGUGCCUGAAGAUGAAGAAACCGUUCCCAACUUUGAUAACAACACACAUGGUGUUGAAGGCAAGUUUUUCUAUCAUACUCAUGUUCUGCCUUAUGGAUCAUUAGCCCUGUUCAUUAAAUUUGAUUGAAGAUGAGCAUACUCUCAUCGGAUGCCUUUUUUAAUAGAUGGCGACCGUGCCCAUUCUGAUGACGACCACUGGAUGACCAAUGGAUCUGAUCUCAUUGCCCGUCAUGAUGAUGGCAACUAGAUGCACUUCAAAGCAGGUGGUAGUGGCGAACCUUGCGAGCGAACACAAAGUGAACCUGAUAAUGACACUCAAGGCAUGUUAUAAAACCCAGAAUAUUUCUAGCAUGUUAUUUGAGUUACAAUAGUGGUGCUUUUGUUAAACUGAACUAAUGAUUCAUGGAGCUUAAAACAUUUCUCUAAAAUUAGACUAAAGCUAUGAGCUUAAUUCAUGUUGUUCUAGUUACUGAUUUUGAAAUGAUGUUCUCCAUUUAUCAGUCCACUUUUGUACUUUCUAAUUUUUAUUGAUAUAUGUAUCCAUUCUUGAUUUACCUUCUUUGUAGGGCCAUGCUCCUAUGAGGAGUCAAGGGAAAGGGGGUCAAUAUUGGAAAAGGCCUUGAAAGGAUCAGUCGACGUCGGGGGGGCAAACUGCCGCUCGUCAUUCCAGAAGGGAGGUUAAGGCCGGAGACACCUCUUCUUGCUGCAAAGUUUGCAACCGAAUGCAACGUCACAGUCAGAGGCCAUGUGCCAGUGUCUAAACACUGGAAGGAUUACAAGGACCCAGAUGGAAAUGUCCGAGAAGGGAUCCUCCAGAACUUUGUAGGCAAAGUUGGUGUAAGUACACGAUCCAACCCUUUCUCAAUCAAAUCGCUAGUAACCUGUCCAUUUUGUGCUAUUUUAAUUGUGUGCAAUCAUGAUUCUUACACAUCUUCUUUCAUCUUACUAGAACAAGUUUGAGAUGGACGUACAAGCUGUGCCAAUUAGGAAGGCUUGUACGCAAAUGCUAAAAGGUGCGAUUCACCAACAACGAUACAGGCUCAAGCAGAAGUAUUUCGAUCCUUUCCUACUCAAUUUGGUGACGAAAACUUCUCCAGUCCGCUCGAUGACUGAUGAACAAUGGAAUGAGCUUGUGGAAAGCUGGAAGGAUCCCAAAAAAUGGUACAUUUCUUCUUGGAGACAAAUAAUAUCUUGGUGCUGCCAACCACCCUUUCUUGCCAGAUUCAAAGAAGGAAAAAAUAGAAACAAUAAGCAUGUAUAUCAGCAACUUAUUAUUGUUUCUUGUACUUCAGUACCGAACACAACACUCCACUACAUCCUCUAUUAGCUAGUAGCAUCAAAAUUGGAUGGUUCUGACUCAUUACUCAUGAGUCAAAGGUCCUGCAAGGUACCAGACUUACAUUUAGGAAAUAAUAUAAGUCAAUAUAUAUGUAAAGCCAAAAAAUUAUGACUUAUUUACUUCUUCGCGUGCUUGUCAAUUAGCUUUGUCAUCCAUUGUUGAUUAUGACAACUCAACAUAUGAUCAAAAUGUCUACUCUGGUGUAAUACACUGCCAUAAAGGUCAUGAUCUGGAACUACUUGAAAACAGCCUUCUGUGUAAUAUAGCUCAUAUUUUAGCAUGAGGUUGUCUAUCAGAAGAUCAAUCAAUUAAAGUUACAAUGUUAUUGUGUGAGCAUCAACCUCUGAAAUGUCGGGGCGUGUAUAUAAGAUGAAUCCUUCUUGAAUGUUUUAUUUGUUUCCAUAAUAACUCUCAAAUAAAUGCAUUUAGCUAACCAAAUCACUGAUCCAUGCAGGAGAUAUGUGGAAUUAAAAAAUAACCGUGCUCAAGUCAAGUUUCACCAAACUACUGGUUCGCGCAGCUACCCCGUGCACUGUGAUAACCUGGUAAGUUAAACAUGUGUCUGGAUGUGCAAACUGUUUAUGUAAAAGUAACUGGCAACUGUUUUCAUGAGAUUUUUUGCAUGGUCUUGACGAAUGUUAUUGACCAUAAGUUCAUGUAAAACUUACCAUUGCGACUAUUGUUCUUCUCUAUAUUAAUUUUUUUAUGCUAGCAUGUUAAGGUUCAAUGUUUUGGGCUCGAACUAUAUCUGACCUCUGCUGCUCCUGCUAUUGUUAGGUACAUUAGGUACGAUAUUUUCUUAGUUUGCUAGCAAUAAUGAAUAUAAAUGUAUAUGAUGCUCCCUUGCCUACAACCCAUACAUGCUUUUUCCCCUUAAUGGUAUAUCAUACUGAAUAAAUGAAUAAACUAGAGUUCAAUAUUGGUACUAUACAUGUUGUUUCUUCACAAAUGUUAGCUUGAUGCAUAUCUGUUGUUUUCAGGGAGACAAAUACAAGGAUAAAGAACCUACUGCACUAGAUUUAUUCAAGGAGUGCCACUACAGCAGCAAAAAGAAAGGCUACACUGAUGAUGUGCAAGCUGCAAUUGUAAGUCAGCUUUCAAAGAUCACCAACCAUCAAAAUGUUAACCUUUUGCCACAUAUCCAGUAGUAGGAUAAUAAAUAAUUGCAAAAAACUACAUGUUAUUUUCUGUCCUUGUGCUAGAAUACUAGCUGUGUUCUGUCCUUGUGCUAUAAUACUUGCCACAUUUUGUCCUUGUGUGAAGUACUUGCUAUUUUCUAUCCUUAUGCUAAAAUACUUGAUGUCCUUGGCCUACAGUACUUGCAGCAUACAUGUAGUGACUAGAGUAUAACUACAUGUCUACAUCUGUACAUGGAAAUGUGGCAUACCAAUAGGCAAAUAACAUAUUUGUCUCCUGUUUUGCUCACCGUGUUUCUUUGCUUGCAUGGCUAGGUUGAAAUGGAAAAGAGUGCAUCUCAGCCUACAGAAGAUGGCCAACAAUCCAACUCUGCAGCCAAGGUUGUGGCUGAAGUUCUUACUAAGCACACUAGGAAGCCAAUGUUUCUUAAGCAUGUGGGGGUCCAGCACGUGCAUGAGAGAUCCAGUCGUAGCGACCGUGAGGCAGAACAGGAAGCGCAGAAGAGGGGAACAGCCAAGCUUCAGGCCCGUGUUGAAACCUUGACCAACCAGUUAAAGGAAUCAGAAGAAGCAAGGAUCAGGCAAGAAGAAGCAAGGAUCAAGCAAGAAGAGGAGACCAAGAAAAAGCAAGCGGAGAUGGAAGCUAAAUUAGACUUCUUACUAAAUCAGAUUACUCCAAGUGAGCUCAAGAGUAAGUUGUUUGUCCAAGCAAAAUUCUGCUGGAAGCUCUGAAUGUGUUGGAACCUGCCUUUUGCUAAAUGUUAGUUUAUAGUGGAAACUGCUUAUGAUGUUGCUGGAUGCAAACUAUUUUGCUGGUAGGUGGAAGUUGUGUUAUGUUUGAUGGUUAGUGGAUUUGGACAGGAAGUUUAUUUAUGUUGGAUGUGUAAUGCUGGAUCAGUACUUAUCUUAUUGCAAUACUGGAGUUUAAUUUGUGUUGUGUGAUGAUGUGAAUCUUUUCUGUCUAUUUGACAUUGUUGUUGUACCGAAAGAGAAGUUCUUCAUUGUGAUGGAGCAAAAUUGGUUAUUGAGCACUAAUGGGCUGGAGUAUAAAUGUGCUGACAAACAGCAUAAUGGACCGGAAGAAACAGGCUAUCAGAUAGAAGUUAAAAAAAUAUGGGUCUGAAAAAAAUUAAUGGGCCAAAUACUCCUGUAUGCCUUCACUUUUUUCGGCUAUUCGGCCUGGCUUGACAAAUUAACUGGGCCAAAAUUAUAUAGGCCCAAAGGCUAGAGGCCCAGAUGAUGCCACAUCAGAUCCAAGUGGAUGCCAUGCAAUACAUCAGGGCAUCCAGACCCACGACGGAUUUGUCCAUCACCGAAACCCGGGCCGAGAGCGGGCCAAGAGGGGCCGGGGGCCGGAUCAGUGACGGUCCGACACCGUCAUAAAUCUGUGACGGCUAGGCAUUUCCGUCACAGCUUGUGCUAUUGGCAAAUUAUGACGCGUGAUACAUGACAGAUCUCAUAUCCGUCACUGAUGCCAAGGCCUGACGGUUUUCUGCUCUGCUGUGAUGGUUUGUAUCUGUCACAGAUAAGAAGGUUUCUUGUAGUGUUCCCCUCAUGUCUACUACACAACCUUCUUCUUGUAGACGUUGUUGGGCCUCCAAGUGCAGAGGUUUGUAGGACAGUAGCAAAUUUCCCUCAAGUGGAUGACCUAGGUUUAUCAAUCCGUGGGAGGCCUAGGAUGAAGAUGGUCUCUCUCAAGCAACCCUACAACCAAAUACCAAAGAGUCUCUUGUGUCCCCAACACACCCAAUACAAUGGUAAAUUGUAUAGGUGCACUAGUUCGGCGAAGAGAUGGUGAUACAAGUGCAAUAUGGAUGGUAGAUAUAGGUUUUUGUAAUCUGAAAAUAUAAAAACAGCAAGGUAACUAAUGAUAAAAGUGAGUGUAAACGGUAUUGCAAUGCUAGGAAACAAGGCCUAGGGUUCAUACUUUCACUAGUGCAAGUUCUCUCAACAAUAAUAAAAAAACUGGAACCUUAUAACUAUCCCUCAACAUGCAACAAAGAGUCACUCCAAAGUCCCUAAUAGCGGAGAACAAACAAAGAGAUUAUGGUAGGGUACGAAACCACCUCAAAGUUAUUCUUUCGGAUCAAUCUAUUAUAGAGUUCGUACUAGAAUAACACCUUAAGACACAAAUCAGCCAAAACCCUAAUGUCACCUAGAUACUCCAAUGUCACCUCAAGUAUCCGUGGGUAUGAUUUAUACAAUAUGCAUCACACAAUCUCGAAUUCAUCUAUUCAACUAACACAUAGAACCUCAAAGAGUGCCCCGAAGUUUCUACUGAAGAAUCAAGAUGAAAACGUGUGCCAACCCCUACGCAUAGGUUCAUGGGCAAAACCCGCAAGUUGAUCACCAAAACAUACAUCAAGUGGAUCAAUAGAAUACCCCAUUGUCACCACGGGUAUCCCACGCAAGACAUACAUCAAGUGUUCUCAAAUCCUUAAAGACUCAAUCCGAUAAGAUUACUUCAAAGGGAAAACUCAAUCCAUUACAAGAGAGUAGAGGGGGAGAAACAUCAUAAGAUCCAACUAUAAUAGCAAAGCUCGCGAUACAUCAAGAUCGUAUCACCUCAAGAACACGAGAGAGAGAGAGAGAUCAAACACAUAGCUACUGGUACAUACCCUCAGCUCCGAGGGUGAACUACUCCCUCCUCGUCAUGGAGAGCGUCGGGAUGAUGAAGAUGGCCACCGGUGAGGGAUCCCCCCUCCGGCAGGGUGCCCGAACAGGGUCCCGAUUGAUUUUUGGUGCUACAGAGGCUUGCGGCGGAGGAACUCCCAAUCUCUUCUGUUCCCCGAAGGUUUUAGGGUAUAUUGGUAUAUAUAGGAGGAAGAAAUACGUCAGGGGAGCCACGAGGGGCCCACGAGGGCGGAGGGCGCGCCCAGGGGGGUGGGCGCGCCCCCUGCCUCAUGCCCUCCUCGUUGAUUCCCUGACGUGCACUCCAAGUCCCCUGGAUUGCUUCCGUUUAAAAAUAACUUUCCCGAAGGUUUCAUUCCGUUUGGACUCCGUUUGAUAUUCCUUUUCUGCGAAACACUGAAACAAGGGAAAAAACAGAAACUGGCACUGGGCUCUGGGUUAAUAAGUUAGUCCCAAAAAUAAUAUAAAAGUGUUUAAUAAAGCCCAUAAACAUCCAAAACAGAUAAUAUAAUAUCAUGGAACAAUCAAAAAUUAUAGAUACGUUGGAGACGUAUCAGCAUCCCCAAGCUUAAUUCCUGCUCGUCCUCGAGUAGGUAAAUGAUAAAAACAGAAUUUUUGAUGUGGAAUGCUACCUAACAUAUUUCUUAAUGUAAUUUUCUCUAUUGUGGCAUGAAUAUUCAGAUCCAUAAGAUUCAAGACAAAAUUUUAAUAUUGACAUGAAAAUAAUAAUACUUCAAGCAUACUAACAAAGCAAUCAUGUCUUCUCAAAAUAACAUGGCCAAAAAAAGUUAUCCCUACAAAAUCAUAUAGUCUGGCUACGCUCUAUCUUCAUCACACAAAAUAUUUAAAUCAUGCACAACCCCGAUGACAAGCCAAGCAAUUGUUUCAUACUUUUGAUGUUCUCAAACUUUUUCAAUCUUCACGCAAUACAUGAGCGUGAGCCAUGGACAUAGCACUAUAGGUGGAAUAGAAUGGUGGUUGUGGAGAAGACAAAAAGGAGAAGAUAGUCUCACAUCAACUAGGCAUAUCAACGGGCUAUGGAGAUGCCCAUCAAUAGAUAUAAAUGUGAGGCAGUAGGGAUUGCCAUGCAACGGAUGCACUAGAGCUAUAAGUAUAUGAAAGCUCAACAAAAGAAACUAAGUGGGUGCGCAUCCAACUUGCUUGUUCACGAAGACCUAGGGCAUUUUGAGGAAGCCCAUCAUUGGAAUAUACAAGCCAUGUUCUAUAAUGAAAAAUUCCCACUAGUAUAUGAAAGUGACAACAUAGGAGACUCUCUAUCAUGAAGAUCAUGGUGCUACUUUGAAGCACAAGUGUGGUAAAAGGAUAGUAGCAUUGUCCCUUCUCUCUUUUUCUCUCAUUUUUAUUUUAUUUUAUUUUUUGUUUGGGCCUUUUCUCUUUUUUAUGGCCCUUUUUUUUCUUUUUUUUCUUUUAUUUUUCGUCCGGAGUCUCAUCCCAACUUGUGGGGGAAUCAUAGUCUCCAUCAUCCUUUCCUCACUGGGACAAUGCUCUAAUAAUGAUGAUGAUCACACUUUUAUUUUCUUACAACUCAAGAAUUACAACUCAAUACUUAGAACAAGAUAUGACUCUAUAUGAAUGCCUCCAGCGGUGUACCUGAAUGUGCAAUGACUCAUGAGUGACAUGUAUGAAAGAAUUAUGAAAGGUGGAUUUGCCACAAAUACGAUGUCAACUACAUGAUCAUGCAAAGCAAUAUGACAAUGAUGAAGCGUGUCAUAAUAAACGGAACGGUGGUAAGUUGCAUGGCAAUAUAUCUCGGAAUGGCUAUGGAAAUGCCAUGAUAGGUAGGUAUGGUGGCUGUUUUGAGGAAGGUAUAUGGUGGGUGUAUGAUACCGGCGAAAGGUGCGUGGUAUUAGAGAGGCUAGCAAUGGUGGAAGAGUGAGAGUGCGUAUAAUCCAUGGACUCAACAUUAGUCAUAAAGAACUCAUAUACUUAUUGCAAAAAUCUAUUAGUUAUCGAAACAAAGUACUACACGCAUGCUCCUAGGGGGAUAGAUUGGUAGGAAAAGACCAUCGCUCGUCCCCGACCGCCACUCAUAAGGAGGACAAUCAAUAAAUAAAUCAUGCUCCGACUUCAUCACAUAACGGUUCACCAUAUGUGCAUGCUACGGGAAUCACAAACUUUAACACAAGUAUCUCUCAAAUUCACAACUACUCCACUAGCACAAAUUUAAUAUCACUAUCUCCAUAUCUCAAAACAAUCAUCAAGUAUGAAACGUCUCUUAGUAUUCAAUGCACUUAUAUGAAAGUUUUUAUUAUACCCAUCUUGGAUGCCCAUCAUAUUAGGACUAGUUUCAUAACCAAAGCAAAUUACCAUGCUGUUCUAAAGACUCUCAAAAUAAUAUAAGUGAAGCAUGAGAGUUCAACUAUUUCUUCAAAAUAAAACCACCGCUGUGCUCUAAAAGGAUAUAAGUGAAGCACUAGAGCAAAUGACAAACUACUCCGAAAGAUAUAUAAGUGAAGAUCAAUGAGUAGUUGAAUAAAUAUUGUAACUAUGUGAAGACUCUCCCAUUUAAUAAUUUCAGAUCUUGAUAUUUUAUUCAAACAACAAGCAAAACAAAAGAAAAUAAAAUGACGCUCCAAGCAAAACACAUAUCAUGUGGUGAAUAAAAAUAUAGCUCCAAGUAAAGUUACCGAUGAACGAAGACGAAAGAGGGGAUGCCAUCCGGGGCAUCCCCAAGCUUAGGCUCUUUGUUGUCCUUGAAUAUUACCUUGGGGUGCCUUGGACAUCCCCAAGCUUAGGCUCUUGCCACUCCUUAUUCCAUAGUCCAUCGAAUCUUUACCCAAAACUUGAAAACUUCACAACACAAAACUCAACAGAAAACUCGUAAGCUCCGUUAGUACAAGAAAAUAAAUCACCACUUUUGGUACUGUAAUGAACUCAUUCUAAAUUUAUAUUGGUGUAAUAUCUACUGUAUUCCAACUUAUCUAUGGUUCAUACCCUCCGAUACUACUCAUAGAUUCAUCAAAAUAAGCAAACAACACAUAGAAAACAGAAUCUGUCAAAAACAGAACAGUCUGUAGUAAUCUGUAUCAAACGUAAACUUAUGGAACUCCAAAAAUUCUACCAAAAUAGGAAGACCUAGAUAAUGUGUUUAUUGAUCUUAUGCAAUUGGAAUCAGUAUUUUAUCACGUUCUGGUGAUUUUAAACAAUUGUUUUCGUGAACAGAAAGUUUCUGGAAUUUUCAGCAAGAUCAAAUAACUAUCAUCCAAGAAGAUCCUAUAGGUCUUACUUGACACAAACACUAAUUAAAACAUAAAACCACAUCUAACCAGAGGCUAGGUGAUUUAUUUAUUCCUAAACAGAACCAAAAAGCAAAAGACUAAAGUAAAAUUGGGUUGCCUCCCAACAAGCGCUAACGUUUAACACCCCUAGCUAGGCAUGAUGAUUUCAAUGAUGCUCACAUAAGAGAUAAGAAUUGAAACAUAUAGAGAGCAUCAUGAAGAAUAUUACUAGCACAUUUAAGUCUAACCCACUUCUUAUGCAUAGGGAUUUUGUGAGCAAACAACUUAUGGGAACAAGAAUCAACUUGCAUAGAAAGGUAAAACAAGCAUAACUUCAAGAUUUUAAGCACAUAGAGAGGAAACUUGAUAUUAUUGCAAUUCCUACAAGCAUACAUUCCUCCCUCAUAAUAACUUUCAGUAGCAUCAUGAAUGAAUUCAACAAUAUAACCAGCACCUAAAGCAUUCUUUUCAUGAUCUACAAGCAUAGAAAUUUUAUUACUCCCCACAUAAGCAAAAUUCUUCUCAUUCGUAAUAGUAGUGGGAGAAAACUCAACAAAACAACUAUCAUGUGAUUGAAAAUUAAGAUCAAGAUGACAAGUUUCAUGGUUAUCAUUAUUCUUUAUAGCAUACGUGUCAUCACAAUAAUCAUCAUAGAUAGGAGGCAUGCUUUCAUCAUAGUAAAUUUUCUCAUCAAAGCUUGGGGACAAAAAAUAUCAUCUUCAUCAAACAUAGCUUCCCCAAGCUUGUGGCUUUGCAUAUCAUUAGCAUCUUGGAUAUUCAAAGAAUUCAUACUAAAAACAUUACAAUCAUGCUCAUCAUUCAAAGAUCUAGUGCCAAACAUUUUAUAGAUUUCUUCUCCUAGCACUUGAGCACAAUUUUCAUUCCAUCAUUCUCACGAAAGAUAUUAAAAAGAUGAAGCGUAUGAGACAAACUCAAUUCCAUUUUUUUGUAGUUUUCUUUUAUAAACUAAACUAGUGAUAAAACAAGAAACUAAAGGAUUCGAUUGCAAGAUCUAAAGAUAUACCUUCAAGCACUCACCUCCCCGGCAACGACGCCGGAAAAGAGCUUAGUUGACGGGGUGUGAGUGCCGCUUACCUAGCCUCCCGGGCAACGGCGCCAGAAAAGAGCUUGAUGUCUACUACACAACCUUCUUCUUGUAGACGUUGUUGGGCCUCCAAGUGCAGAGGUUUGUAGGACAGUAGAAAAUUUCCCUCAAGUGGAUGACCUAAGGUUUAUCAAUCCGUGGGAGGCGUAGGAUGAAGAUGGUCUCUCUCAAGCAACCCUACAACCAAAUAACAAAGAGUCUCUUGUGUCCCCAACACGGUGCACUAGUUCAGCGAAGAGAUGGUGAUACAAGUGCAAUAUGGAUGGUAGAUAUAGGUUUUUGUAAUCUGAAAAUAUAAAAACAGUAAGGUAACUAAUGAUAAAAUUGAGCGUAAACGGUAUUGCAAUGCUAGGAAACAAGGCCUAGGGUUCAUACUUUCACUAGUGCAAGUUCUCUCAACAAUAAUAACAUAACUGGAAUCUUAUAACUAUCCCUCAACAUGCAACAAAGAGUCACUCCAAAGUCACUAAUAGCGGAGAACAAACGAAGAGAUUAUGGUAGGGUACGAAACCACCUCAAAGUUAUUAUUUCGGAUCAAUCUAUUAUAGAGUUCGUACUAGAAUAACACCUUAAGACACAAAUCAACCAAAACCCUAAUGUCACCUAGAUACUCCAAUGUCACCUCAAGUAUCCGUGGGUAUGAUUAUACGAUAUGCAUCACACAAUCUCGGAUUCAUCUAUUCAACCAACACAUAGAACCUCAAAGAGUGCCCCAAAGUUUCUACCGAAGAAUCAAGACGAAAACGUGUGCCAACCCCUAUGCAUAGGUUCAUGGGCGGAACCCGCAAGUUGAUCACCAAAACAUACAUCAAUUGGAUCAACAGAAUACCCCAUUGUCACCACGGGUAUCCCACGCAAGACAUACAUCAAGUGUUCUCAAAUCCUUAAAGACUCAAUCCGAUAAGAUUACUUCAAAGGGAAAACUCAAUCCAUUACAAGAGAGUAGAGGGGGAGAAACAUCAUAAGAUCCAACUAUAAUAGCAAAGCUCGCGAUACAUCAAGAUCGUAUCACCUCAAGAACACGAGGGAGAGAGAUCAAACACAUAGCUACUGGUACAUACCCUUAGCCCCGAGGGUGAACUACUCCCUCCUCGUCAUGGAGAGCGCCAGGAUGAUGAAGAUGGCCACCGGUGAGGGAUCCCCCCUCCGGCAGGGUGCCGGAACAGGGUCCCGAUUGGUUUUUGGUGGCUACAGAGGCUUGCGGCGGCGGAACUCCCGAUCUCUUCUGUUCCCCGAAGGUUUUAGGGUAUAUUGGUAUAUAUAGGAGGAAGAAAUACGUCAGGGGAGCCACGAGGGGCCCACGAGGGCGGAGGGCAUGCCCAGGGGUGGGCGCCCCCCCCUACCUCGUGCCCUCCUCGUUGAUUCCCUUACGUGCACCCCAAGUCCCCUGGAUUGCUUCCGUUCCAAAAAUAACUUUCCCGAAGGUUUCAUUCCGUUUGGACUCCGUUUGAUAUUCCUUUUCUGCGAAACACUGAAACAAGGGAAAAAACAAAAACUGGCACUGGGCUCUGGGUUAAUAAGUUAGUCCCAAAAAUAAUAUAAAAUUGUUUAAUAAAGCCCAUAAACAUCCAAAAUAGAUAAUAUAAUAGCAUGGAACAUUCAAAAAUUAUAGAUACGUUGGAGACGUAUCAUCCCCCCAUGUCAAUAUAUGGAAGGGGGCGCAGCUAGGCAGGCCCUAGGGCUGGCCACCAGCCCUUUGGGGGUGCCCUAGGGCUGCCUCCUCUCCCCUCUCCACCUAUAUGUAUGAGAGGAGGGAGAGGGGCAACACACACCACGAUUCCCAAGCCGUGUGCGGCGCCCCUCUCCCUCUAGUUUGUCCUCGGUCAUAAUUUUCGUAGUGCUCGGCGAAGCCCCGCGGAGAUAGUUGCACCACCACCGUCAUGCUGCCGGAACUCGUCUACUACUUUUUCCAUCUUGUUGGAUCAAGAAGGCGAGGACGUCAUCUAGUUGAACGUGUGCUGAACGCGGAGGUGUCGUACGUUCGGUACUUGAUCGGUUGAAUCGUGAAGGUGUACGACUACAUCAACCGCGUUGAUAAACGCUUCCGCUAAACGGCCUACGAGGGUACGUAGACAUACUCUCCCCUCUUGUAGCUAUGCAUCUCCAUGGAUAUAUCUUGCAUGUGCGUAGAUUUUUUUUCAUGCAACAUUCCCAAACAGUGGUAUCAUGAGCCAGGUCUAUGCGUAGAUGAUAUGCACGAGUAGAACACAAAAGAGUUGUGGAUGGUGAUGUUCAUAUUUCUUACCACCAACUUAUUAUUUUGAUUCAGCGAUAUUGUGGGAUGAAGCGGCCCGGACCAACUUUACAUGUGCACGCACAUGAGACCGGUUCAACCAACUGACAUGCAACUUGUUUUGCAUAAAGGUGGCUUGCGGGUGUUUGUUUCUCCUACUUUAGUUGAAUCAAAUUUGACUACGGCCGAUCCUUGAAGAAGGUUAGAACAGCAAACUUGAUAAUCACCGUUGUGGUUUUACGUAGGUAAGAACGGUUCUUGCUAGUUGCCCGUAGCAGCCACGUAAAACUUGCAACAACAAAGCAGAGGACGUCUAACUUGUUUUUGCAGGGCAUGUUGUGAUGUGAUAUGGUCAAGAUAUGAUGUGAUAUACGUUGAUGUAUGAGAUGAUCAUGUUUUGUAAUAAGUUCAUGACUUGCAUGUCGAUGAGUACGACAACCGGCAGGAGCCUUAGGGUUGUCUUUAAUUAUUGUAUGACCUGUGUGUCAAUCACUAAGCGCCAUGUAAUUGCUUUACUUUAUCGCUAUGCGUCAGCAAUAGUUGUAGAAGCAAUAGUUGGCGAGACGAUCCCGACGCUACGAUGGAGAUCAAGGUGUCGAGCCGGUGAAGAUGGAGAUCAUGUCGAUGCUUUGGAGAUGGAGAUCAAAAGCACAAGAUGAUGAUGGCCAUAUCAUGUCACAUAUUUUGAUUGCAUGUGAUGUUUAUCCUUUAUGCAUCUUAUUUUGCUUAGAAGAAUGGUAGCAUUAUAAGAUGAUCCCUUCACUUAAUUUCAAGAUAAAAGUGUUCUCCAUGAGUAUGCAUCGUUGCUAAAGUUCAUCGUCUCGAAGCACCUCGUGAUGAUCGGGCGUGAUAGACUCUACAUUCAGAUACAACGGGUGUAAGCCAGUUUUGCACAUGCAGAAUACUUGGGUUAAACUUGACGAGCCUAGCAUGUACAGACAUGGUCUCGGAACACAGGAGACCAAAUGGACAUGAGUCAUAUAGUAGAUAUGAUCAACAUAUAGAUGUUCACCAUUGAUGACUACCCCACCUCACGUGAUGAUCGGACAUGGGUUAGUUGAUUUGGAUCAUGUAUCACUUAGAUAACUUGAGGGAUGUUAAUUUAAGUGGGAGUUCAUUAGUAAUUUGAUUAAUUGAAGUGAAUUUACCAUGAACUUAGUCUUAACAGUUUUUUGCAUAUCUAUGUUGUAGAUCAAUAGCCCGUGCUACCGUUCCCUUGAAUUUUAAUGCGUUCCGAGAGAAAGCUAAGUUGAAACAUGAUGGUAGCAACUACACAGACUGGGUCCACAACUUGAGGAUUAUCCUCAUUGCUGCACAGAAGAAUUAUUUCCUUGAUGCACCGCUAGGUGACAGACCUGCUGCAGGAGCUACUAAAGAUGUUAUGAAUAUCUGGCAGGCUCGAUCCUAUGACUACUCAAUAGUUUAGUGUGCCAUGCUUUACGGCUUAGAACCGGGACUUCAAAGACGUUUUGAACACCACGUACCAUAUGAGAUGUACCAAGAGCUAAAGCUGAUAUUUCAAGCUAAUGCCCGGGUUGAGAGGUAUGAAGUCUCCAACAAGUUCUAUAGUUGUAAGAUGGAGGAGAACAGUUCUGUCAUUGAACACAUACUCAAAAUGUCUGGGUAUCAUAACCACUUGACUCUGCUGGGAAUCUUCCAGUUGAGAUCAUUAUUGAUAGAGUUCUUCAGUCACUGCCACCAAGCUACAAAGAAAAAGGGCAAGGGAUGACGAAAAUUAUUCCCGAGGUGUUCGCAAUGCUUAAGGUCGUGGAGGUAGAAAUCAAGAAGGAGCAUCAAGUGUUGAUGGUUAACAAGACCACUAGUUUCAAGAAAAAGGGCAAGGGAAAGAAAGGAAACUUCAAGAAGAAUCGCAAGCAAGUUGUCGCUCCCGUGAAGAAGCCCAAAGCUGGACCCAAGCCUGAAACGGAGUGCUUCUAGUGCAAAGGGAAUGGUCACUGGAAGCGGAACUGCCCCAAAUACUUGGGGGAUAAGAAGGAUGGCAAAGUGAACAAAGGUAUAUUUGAUAUACAUGUUAUUGAUGUGUUCCUUACUAGUGCUCGUAGUAGUGCCUGGGUAUUUGAUAAUGGUUCAGUUGCUCAUAUUUGUAACUCGAAAAAGAUUGGCUAAGGACGAGGUGACCAUGCGCGUCGGGAAUGGUUCCAAGGUCGAUGUGAUCGUCGUCGGCACGCUACCUCUACAUCUACCUUCAGGAUUAGUUUGAGACCUCAAUAAUUGUUAUUUGGUGCCAGCGUUGAGCAUGAACAUUAUAACUGAAUCUUGUUUAAUGCGAGACGGUUAUUAACUUAAAUCAGAGAAUAAUGGUUGUUCUAUUUAUAUGAGUAAUAUCUUUUAUGGUCAUGCACCUUUGAUGAAUGGUCUAUUCUUGUUCAAUCUUGAUCAUGGUGAUACGCAUAUUCAUAAUAUUGAUGCCAAAAGAUGCAAAAUUGAUAAUGAUAGUGCAACAUACUUGUGGCACACCGUUUAGGUCAUAUUGGUGCAAAGCGCAUGAAGAAACUCCAUGUGGAUGGACUUUUGGAAUCACUUGAUUGUGAAUCAUUUGAUACUUGAGAACCAUGCCUUAUGGGUAAGAUGACUAAAACUCUGUUCUCCGGAACAACGGAGCGAGCUAAUGACUUAUUGGAAAUAAUACAUACCGAUGUAUGCGGUCCGAUGAGUGUUGACGCACGCGGUGGGUAUCGUUAUUUUCUAACCUUCACAGAUGAUUUAAGUAGGUAUGUGUAUAUCUACUUAAUGAAACACAAGUCUAAAACAUUUGAAAAGUUCAAAGAAUUUCAUAGUGAAGUGGAGACUUAUCGUAACAAGAAAAUAAAGUUCUACGAUCCGAUCGCGGAGGAGAAUAUUUGAGUUACGAGUUUCACCUUCAUUUAAAACAAUGUGGAAUUGUUUCACAACUCAUGCCACCUGGAACACCACAGCGUAAUGGUGUGUCCGAACGUCGUAACCAUACUUUGUUAGACAUGGUGCGUUCUAUGAUGUCUCUUACCGAUUUGCCUUUAUCAUUUUGGGGUUACGCAUUAGAGACAGCCGCAUUCACGUUAAAUAGGGCACUAUCUAAAUAUGUUGAGACGACACCGUGUGAACUUUGGUUUGGCAAGAGACCUAAGAUGUCGUUUCUUAAAGUUUGGGGAUGCGACACUUAUAUCAAAAGGCUUCAGAAGCUCGAACCCAAAUCGGAGAAGUUCAUCUUCAUAGGAUAGCCUAAGGAAACUAUUGGGUACACCUUCUACCACAGAUCUGAAGGCAAGAUCUUUGUUGCCAAGAAUGGGUCAUUUCUAGAGAAGGAGUUUCUCUCGAAAGAAGUGACUGGGAGGAAAGUAGAGCUUGAUGAGGUAAUUGUACCUUCUCUCGGAUUGGAUAGUAGAACAUCAGAGAAAACCGUUCCCGUGAUGCCUACACCAACUAGAGAAGAAGCUAACGAUGAUGAUCAUGAAACUUCAGAUCAAGUUACUACUAAAUAACGUAGGUCAACCAGAACACGUACCGCACUAGAGUGGUACGGUAAUCCUAUCCUGGAAGUCAUGUUGUUAGACAACGGCGAACCUACGAACUAUGAAGAAGUUAUGAUGAGCCCAGAUUCCGACAAAUGGCUUGAGGCCACAAAAUCUGAGAUACGAUCCAUGUAUGAGAAUAAAGUAUGGACUUUGGUGGACUUCCCCAAUGAUCGGCAAGCCAUUGAGAAUAAAUGGAUCUUCAAGAAGAAGACAGACGCUGAUGGUAAAUAACCGUCUAUAAAGCUCGACUUCUCACAAAAGGUUUUCGAUAAGUUCAAGGGGUUGACUCGAUGAGACUUUCUCACCCAUAGCGAUGCUUAAGUCUGCCCGAAUCAUGUUAGCAAUUGCCGCAUUUUAUGAUUAUGAAAUCUGGUAAAUGGACAUCAAAACUGCAUUCCUUAACGGGUUCCUUAAAUAAGAGUUGUAUAUGAUGCAACCAGAAGGUUUUUUCGAUCCUAAAGGUGCUAACAAAGUGUGCAAGCUCCAGUGAUCCAUUUAUGGACUGGUGCAAGCAUCUCGGAGUUGGAAUAUAUGCUUUGAUGAUGUUAUCAAAGCAUAUGGUUUUAUACAGACUUACGGAGAAGCCUGUAUUUACAAGAAAGUGAGUGGAGCUCUGUAGCAUUUCUGGUGUUUAAUGUGGAUGACAUAUUACUGAUUGGAAAUGAUAUAGAAUUUCUGGAUAGCAUAAAAGGAUACUUGAAUAAGAAUUUUUCAAUGAAAGACCUCGGUGAAGCUGCUUAUAUAUUUGGCAUCAAGAUCUAUAGGGAUAGAUCGAGACGCUUAAUAGACUUCCACAAAGCACAUACCUUGACAAAGUUCUGAAGAAGUUCAAAAUGGACCAGUGAAAGAAAGGGUUCUUGCUUGUGUUGCAAGGUGUAAAAUUGAGUCAGACUCAAUGCCCGACCACGGCAGAAGAUAGAGAGAAAAUGAAAGUCAUUCCCUAUGCCUCAGCCAUAGGUUCUAUUAUGUAUGCCAUGUUGUGUACCAGACCUGAUGUGUGCCUUGCCAUAAGUUUGGCAGGGAGGUACCAAAGUAAUCCAGGAGUGGAUCACUGGACCGCGGUCAAGAACUCCUGAAGUACCUGAAAAGGACCAAGGAUAUGUUUCUCGUUUAUGCGGGUGACGAAGAGCUCGUCGUAAAGGGUUACAUCGAUGCUAGUUUCGACACAGAUCCGGAAGACUCAAAUUCGCAAGUUGGAUACGUAUUUAUAUUCAAUGGUGGAGCUAUCAGUUGGUGCAGUUCCAAGCAGUGAGUCGUGGCGGGAUCUACGUGUGUAGUGGAGUACAUAGCUGUUUCGGAAGCAAGGCAUGAAGGAGUCUGGAUGAAGGAGUUCAUAUCCGAUUUGGGUGUAAUACCCAGUGCAUUGGGUCCAAUGACAAUCUUUUGUGACAACACUGGAGCAAUUGCCUUGGCGAAAGGAAUCCAGGUUUCACAAGAGAACCAAACACAUCAAGAGACGCUUCAACUUCAUUCGUAAAAAGGUCAAGGAUGGAGACAUAGAAAUUUGCAAAAUACAUACGGAUCUGAACGUGGUAGACCCAUUGACUAAAUCUCUUCCAUGGGCAAAACAUGAUCAGCACUAAGACUCCAUGGGUGUUAGAUUCAUUACUAUGUAAUCUAGAUUAUUGACUCUAGUGCAAGUGGGAGACUGAUGGAAAUAUGCCCUAGAGGCAAUAAUAAAGUUGUUACUAUAUUUCCUUAUUCAUGAUAAAGGUUUAUUAUCCAUGCUAGAAUUGUAUUGACCGGAAACUUAAACACAUGUGUGGAUAUAUAAACAAAUACCGUGUCCUUAGUAAGCCUCUACUAGACUAGCUCGUUGAUCAAGACAUGGUUAAGGUUUCCUAACCAUAGACAUGUGUUGUCACUUGGUAACGGGAUCACAUCAUUAGGAGAAUGAUGUGAUGGACAAGACCCGUCCAUUAGCAUAGCAUAUGAUCAUUCAGUUUAUUGCUACCGCUUUCUUAAUGUCAAAUACAUAUUCCUUUAACCAUGAGAUCAUGCAAUUCCUGAAUACGAAAGGAAUACCUUCUGUGCUACCAAACGUCACAACGUAACUGGGUGAUCAUAAAGAUGCUCUACAGGUAUCUCCGAAGAUGUCUGUUGAGUUGGCAUGGAUCAAGAUCGGGAUUUCUCACUCCGCGUAUCGCAGAGUUUCUGUGGGCCCUCUCAGUAAUACACAUCACAAGAAGCUUGCAGGCAAAGUUGCUAAGGAGUUAGUUACGAGAUGAUGUAUUACGAAUGAGUAAAGAGACUUGCCAGUAACGAGAUUGAACUAGGUAUGAAGAUACCGACAAUCGAAUCUCGGGCAAGUAACAUACCAACAAACAAAGGGAAUUAUGUAUGUUGUCAUAAAGGUCCGACCGAUAAACAUCUUUGUAGAAUAUGUAGGAACCAAUAUGGGCAUCCAGGUCCCGCUAUUGGUUAUUGACCGGAGAGGCGUCUCGUUCAUGUCUACAUCAUUCUCGAACCCGUAGGGUCCGCACGCUUAACGUUCGUUGAUGAUAUAGUAUUAUAUGAGUUAUGUGAGUUGGUGAUCGAAUGUUGUUCGAAGUCCCGGAUAAGAUCACGGACAUGACGACGAGCUCCAGAAUGGUCCGGAGGUAAAGAUUGAUAUAUAUAUAUAUAUAUAUAGGACGAUGCCAUUUGGUAACCGGAAAGGUUUCAGGAUGUACUGGGUAUUCAUCGGAGUGCUGGAAGGGGUUCCGGGAGGCCACCUGUAAAUGGUGGGCCUUAUGGGCCAAAGUGGGCAAGCACACCAGCCCAAAAGGGGGCUGGCGCACCCCUCCACCCCUGCGCAUGCUCCAAGGAAGGGGGAGGCGCCCUAUGGCAGCCUGCCCCCCUUUCCUCCCCCCAUGUCCAUAUAUGGAAGGGGCGCAGCUAGGGAGGCCCUAGGGCUGGCCGCCGGCCCUUUGGGGGCGCCCUAGGGCUGCCUCCUCUCCCCCCUCCACCUAUAUAUAUGAGAGGAGGGAGAGGGGCAACACAUACCACGAUUCCCAUGCCGUGUGCGGCGCCCCUCUCCCACUAGUUUGUCCUCGCUCAUAAUUUUCGUAGUGCUCAGCGAAGCCCUGCGGAGAUAGUUGCACCACCUCCGUCACCAUGCCGUCGUGCUGCCGGAACUCAUCUACUACUCCGCCCGUCUUGCUGGAUGAAGAAGGCGAGGACGUCAUCAAGCUGAAUGUGUGCUGAACGCGGAGGUGCCGUACGUUCGGUACUUGAUCGGUUGGAUCAUGAAGGUGCACGACUACAUCAACCGUGUUGAUAAUCGCUUUCACUAAACGGUCUAUGAGGGUACGUAGACAUACUCUCCCAUCUCAUAGCUAUGCAUUUCCAUGGAUAGAUCUUGCGUGUGUGUAGAAUUUUUUUGUUUUCCAUGCAACGUUCCUCAACACGCAGCCCACUACACCCAUCUACCCUAACCCUCUCGCCGGAGCCGUCUGAUCUCGAUCUGAUGGUUCGAAACUGACCCAAAUCAACUUCCCUGCCUAUUUAAGCAACACCUACCCUUCCAUUAGUGGCUAACCCUAAAGCCUAGCCAGACAAACUCCCUCCAAUCUCGAGCACGCCGCCGCCCACCUGGUCCCCUCCUUGAUUUCCCCUCCUGUCCAAUCCAACCAGAUCCAAUGCAGAAACCUCCACCUGCUAUGAGCCGUCGGAUCGAGGAUCCAACGACCCAGAUUGCCCCCAAGCCCCAGGCUCGCACCGCCCCAUCCCUGUAGCCUCCUCCUUGCUCGAUCCUGAGCAGGAGAGCCGCCCCGCCGGCCAGCUAGGCCACCGGAGUCCCAACCUCGCGUCGCCUGCGCCCCUGCCCUUCUCCUCCUUCCUUUCCUUCUUCCAUUCCUAACCUCUCGGCUCUUCCUCUCUCCCCUUCGCAGGAACCUCCCUGACGCCAUGAACUCCGUCGCGCCGUCAACCUCACGGGGCCCAUCGCCCUCGUUCGCCGCCAGAUCCGGGGACGCCAUGCUCGGAUCCAUCCGUUCCCGGCUUCAACGAUCCUACCGCCGCCUGCUAGCCGGAGAUCGAGUGCGCCGCGUCCUGUUCAUCCCUGCAUCGCGCCGCAAGCUAAGUCCUCGUCCUCCCCGAUGUUCCGCCGCCCGUUCCCGGCCUCCCCCAUGUACAGCUCGUCGUCUGCAGCCUUCAUUCGCGCCCCUGCCUCACCACGGACGCGCCUCCCCUGUGUCGCGUGCUUCGCGGGAGCCCGCCUGCGACCUCCUCUGCUUCGAGCCCCGUCCUGCAUCGAGCGAACGCUCGUCCUCGAGCGUUGACUGCCAGCUUGCCUCCACCUCCUCACCGAUGGCCCAAGGCCCAACUUGAGAAACUCCCCCAGCCCAGUUCCCCAGUUCAAUUCAGUUUCAGCCCGAUGCGUUUUUUUCCCUGUUGCGAAUUUACUUAUUGUCUGGAGAAAACAGUUUUACAGAAAAACCCUCCAUGUUCAUGCAUUAAUAAUUCACAAACCAGGCAUCGGAUUAAAAUGUUUUAUAUAUGUAAAAUGCUUAGAAUUUCAUGUAGUUUCGUAAUAUGCAACUUUCAUCCAUGUUAAAAAUGUUUAAAAUGCUGUUUGCAUUUAAUUUUUUAAAUGACAUGUUAAAAUGGUUUAUUUCAUAACUAAAUAAUUGUAGCUCCGAAUUAAAUAAACUUUAUAUGUAAACGGUCUAGAAAAAUGCAUAGAUUAACAUGGUGCACUUAUUCUGCAUGUUUAACAACUCUCAAAUAUGGUUUAGAGCAGAACAGUAGCAAAUUCGAAAAUGGCUUUUGGGGCGACUUGGAAAUUUAUAAUAUCCGGUUGUAGAGAACUUGACACUAAACUUCAAAUAAAAUACACCGACAGUGUGUGUAACCGUGACCGUCUCUUUUCGAGGGAGUUCGGAAGAUAACAUGGUGGGGUUAUGUUUGACUCGUAAGUAGUUCAAGAUCACUUAUUGAUCAUUACUAGCUGCGACCGUUAUGCGUAGUUACUCUUCUUAUUCUUGUACUCGUAAGUUGACCACCAUACAAAUGCUUAAUGCUUGCUGCAACCUCACCACUUAUCCAUUCCUUACUCAUUAAACUUUGUUAGUUUUGAUACACAUGGUAAUGGGAUUGCUGAGUCCUAGUGACUCACAGAUUACUACAACAACAGUUGCAGGUACAGGUAAUGUGAUGAUCUGAUGUGAGAGCGAUGCUUGCUUGUUUUGGAGUUCUUCUGAUUCUUCUUCCUCGAUCAAAGUAUAGGUUUCAGGUUGGGAGCCUGAGAUUAGCAGGGUGGAUGUCGUUCUUCUUUUUCGUUUGAUUUCAUCCGUAGUCGGAUCCUGCUCUUCUAUAUGAUGAUUGCUAUGUAUUGAUGUAUUGAUGUAUUCGUGUUGUAGCUUGUGGCGAGUGUAAGCCUUUAUCUUGUAUUCUCAUCUAACCCGUACAUGGUAUGUUGUAAUGAUAUUCACUUUGCUAUGCGCUCGAAAUGCGGUUGUGCCCUAAUCAUGAAUUCAUCACGUGAUUGGGAUAGAAUCCCAUCUUGGGCGCUACAGACGGAUCCUUCAGGCGCGCACACUCCGGUGUGAGAUGGCGGCCUUAGACAUAGGCUUCUCGCCGCACGACAGGCUCUAGUCUAAGUCGACCAUGGCAUCGCAUUAGACAAGGCGGCAAUAGCUCCCAGCAUGGAGCGCACGAUGACGACGACACCACAAUCAUGGCAUUCGACCUCGGCGUGAGUUGGCCAAUGGCCAUCAUGCCCUGCCAGCUCCCCUGCUCUGGAUUGACGCCCACAGUAGCAAGGCGGCCGAUCCCAUGGCGGUGGCACGUGGGGGCAGAGAAGGAUGGCGUGGCAGAGGAAGCACCCAGCAGAGGGGUAACCCUGACCGAGCUUGGAAGGAACAAAGAAGGCGAUUGCGCGAGGGGGCAGCGAGGGAGGGCGUGGCAGAGGAAGCACACAAUGAAGGGGAGUCCCUAGCCGGGUUUGCGAGGAACAAAGAAGGGGAUUGAUGUGAGAGAGGCAUGGGCUGUCGCACGGUUAGAUGAUCUGGGAACGGGAAUCACACAAGAAAAAACCCGGAGGCAAACAGAAAAAAAAAGCACGAAUGAAGAGGGAGCGGAAGGCCAGAGCGACAUGAGAGGAAACCUUAUUCAUUUCAGUUUUUAUUAGCGAGAGAGAAAAAACCAAGAUGAUGCAAUGGUGGGAGGUGAGGAAAGACUACCAACUCCUCUUUUUGUAUUCCUAAUUUUUUUGAGGGGUUUUAUAUUCCUAAAUAAAACUCCCCUUUAGAAGCUAUGGUUGGAGAGAUUACAAGUUGGGCAGUGAUAGCGAACCAAUCUGUGGUUGGAUGGUUAUGUGAACAAUGGUAUCCCGGGCCCAUCACGGUUCAAGAACUGGUGCUCGCAUUUAUUCUGGAUUUAUUUUAGGAUUUCCGGUGAUACGCAUUCAGUAGGAGGAGACGUUCCCGUCCACUACGAGGUGUCUACGAUGACUUUGUAAAAUCUAAGUGAUAUGCCGGCUCAGUCUCUCGGAGGUGCUCAUAGGAUAUGGUGGUCAUGCGUGUAUUUAUAAGGAUGAGUAUAUGCACGUAUAUACGAGCACUUGUGUCUGAACUGAUGUAAAAAAAAGUUGGGCAGCAAUCCAGACGCAUAUUGUUGGUGUGAUAAAAGGGAGGUGCGUCCAUAAAAAAAAGGGAGGUGCGCACCCCACUGAUCCUAUGCAUUUUCUGCUAAAGCUGAUAAAGUAAACACAAGUAAUAUAAAAAGGGAGUAGAAGACUAUUUACACACGUUCCAAAACAUACAAAAUGGCUGGUGGAAAGAAAGAACGAUACACCAAGGAUGACUUGGAAACUACACUUGAUAAAAUAAUGAUUAACAAUCACAGGGCAGUUCUUCCCGGCAUUGAGGCAUGGUAGUAAAUGCAAAAUAACAACAAUCGGAGGACUUCCAUUCCCCACUGUGGCAUAGGAGAACAUGAACCGACAACCAUAGCUUCUGAUUUGCAUAAUAUGAUCUGAUAGUUUCUUUACGGCGCAUAAACACACACCAGUUAGAUUCCAG